GGUGGCGACCGGCGCACGGGUGCGUAACGCGUAUGCAACCUACCUUUAACAGGGGGAUAACACUGAGAAAUUGGUACUAAUACCCCAUAAUAUCAUAGAAGGCAUCUUUUAUGGUUGAAAAUUCCGAUGGUUAGAGAUGGGCAUGCGUUGUAUUAGCUAGUUGGUGGGGUAACGGCUCACCAAGGCGACGAUACAUAGGGGGACUGAGAGGUUAACCCCCCACACUGGUACUGAGACACGGACCAGACUCCUACGGGAGGCAGCAGUGAGGAAUAUUGGUCAAUGGACGCAAGUCUGAACCAGCCAUGCCGCGUGCAGGAUGACGGCUCUAUGAGUUGUAAACUGCUUUUGUACGAGGGUAAACGCAGAUACGUGUAUCUGUCUGAAAGUAUCGUACGAAUAAGGAUCGGCUAACUCCGUGCCAGCAGCCGCGGUAAUACGGAGGAUUCAAGCGUUAUCCGGAUUUAUUGGGUUUAAAGGGUGCGUAGGCGGUUUGAUAAGUUAGAGGUGAAAUUUCGGGGCUCAACCCUGAACGUGCCUCUAAUACUGUUGAGCUAGAGAGUAGUUGCGGUAGGCGGAAUGUAUGGUGUAGCGGUGAAAUGCUUAGAGAUCAUACAGAACACCGAUUGCGAAGGCAGCUUACCAAACUAUAUCUGACGUUGAGGCACGGAAGCGUGGGGAGCAAACAGGAUUAGAUACCCUGGUAGUCCACGCAGUAAACGAUGAUAACUCGUUGUCGGCGAUACACAGUCGGUGACUAAGCGAAAGCGAUAAGUUAUCCACCUGGGGAGUA
rnacentral:rRNA from 1 species